rnacentral:rRNA from 1 species
UACGUAGGGACCGAGCGUUGUCCGGAAUCAUUGGGCGUAAAGAGCGUGUAGGCGGCCUUUUAAGUCCUGCGUGAAAUCCUGCGGCUCAACCGCAGACGGUCGUGGGAAACUGGAAGGCUAGAGUGCGGGAGAGGAGAGUGGAAUUCCCGGUGUAGCGGUGAAAUUCGUAGAUAUUGGGAAGAACACCGGUGGCGAAGGCGGCUCUCUGGACCGAGACUGACGCUGAGGUGCGAAAGCGUGGGGAGCAAACAGG